ACUAUUCUACUUUCUGUCUCCAUGAAUUUAACAACUCUAGGUACCUCAUGUGACCAGGGUGAUAUUUAAAAGAAGACAGGAAGCUGUAGUAACAUGUAAAGCAGAUUUGGAAUUAGGGAAUGUUCUCCUUGGCUCCAGUAAGUCCCCUGCAUACGAACCUUCAAGUUGUGAACUUUCAAAGAUGUGAA